rnacentral:rRNA from 1 species
GUGGGGAAUAUUGGACAAUGGGCGAAAGCCUGAUCCAGCCAUGCCGCGUGUGUGAAGAAGGUCUUCGGAUUGUAAAGCACUUUAAGUUGGGAGGAAGGGCAGUAAGUUAAUACCUUGCUGUUUUGACGUUACCGACAGAAUAAGCACCGGCUAACUUCGUGCCAGCAGCCGCGGUAAUACGAAGGGUGCAAGCGUUAAUCGGAAGUACUGGGCGUAAAGCGCGCGUAGGUGGUUUUGUAAGUGGGAGGUGAGAUCCCCGGGCUCAACCUGGGAACUGCCUCGAAAGCUGCAGGACUAGAGUACGGUAGAGGGUAGUUGAAUUUCCUGUGUAGCGGUGAAAUGAGUAGAUAUAGGGAGGAACACCAGUGGCGAAGGCGACUACCUGGACUGAUACUGACACUGAGGUGCGAAAGCGUGGGGAGCAAACAGGAUUAGAAACCCCUGUAGUCC